rnacentral:rRNA from 1 species
UACAGAGGUCCCAAGCGUUGUUCGGAUUCAUUGGGCGUAAAGGGUGCGUAGGUGGCGCCGUAAGUGGGGUGUGAAAUUUCGGAGCUUAACUCCGAAACUGCAUUCCAUACUGCGGUGCUUGAGGACUGGAGAGGAGACUGGAAUUUACGGUGUAGCAGUGAAAUGCGUAGAGAUCGUAAGGAAGACCAGUGGCGAAGGCGGGUCUCGUGGACAGUUCCUGACGCUGAGGCACGAAGGCCAGGGGGAGCAAACGGG